rnacentral:rRNA from 1 species
AGAGUUUGAUCAUGGCUCAGAACGAACGCUGGCGGCAUGCCUAACACAUGCAAGUCGAACGAAGUCUUCGGACUUAGUGGCGCACGGGUGCGUAACGCGUGGGAAUCUGCCCUUGGGUGCGGAAUAACUUCUCGAAAGGGAUGCUAAUACCGCAUAAUGUCGUAAGACCAAAGAUUUAUCGCCCAAGGAUGAGCCCGCGUAAGAUUAGCUAGUUGGUGGGGUAAAAGCCCACCAAGGCGACGAUCUUUAGCUGGUCUGAGAGGAUGAUCAGCCACACUGGGACUGAGACACGGCCCAGACUCCUACGGGAGGCAGCAGUGGGGAAUAUUGGACAAUGGGCGAAAGCCUGAUCCAGCAAUGCCGCGUGAGUGAUGAAGGCCCUAGGGUUGUAAAGCUCUUUUACCAGGGAUGAUAAUGACAGUACCUGGAGAAUAAGCUCCGGCUAACUCCGUG